rnacentral:rRNA from 1 species
UUGGAGAGUUUGAUCCUGGCUCAGGAUGAACGCUGGCGGCGUGCUUAACACAUGCAAGUCGAACGGAAAGGCCCUGCUUGCAGGGUACUCGAGUGGCGAACGGGUGAGUAACACGUGGGUGAUCUGCCCUGCACUUCGGGAUAAGCCUGGGAAACUGGGUCUAAUACCGGAUAGGACGAUGGUUUGGAUGCCAUUGUGGAAAGUU